GUUCCUACGGGGGGCAGCAGUGAGGAAUAUUGGUCAAUGGCCGCAGGGCUGAACCAGCCAAGUCGCGUGAGGGAUGACGGUCCUAUGGAUUGUAAACCUCUUUUGUCAGGGAGCAAAGGGCGCCACGUGUGGCGUUUUGCGAGUACCUGAAGAAAAAGCAUCGGCUAACUCCGUGCCAGCAGCCGCGGUAAUACGGAGGAUGCGAGCGUUAUCCGGAUUUAUUGGGUUUAAAGGGUGCGUAGGCGGAAGGUUAAGUCAGCGGUCAAAUGUCGGUGCUCAACACCGGCCUGCCGUUGAAACUGGUC
rnacentral:rRNA from 1 species